CCAUCUGACAGAUCAAAGGAGGUUCAAGUUGGCGGUUUUCGAUGUUGAAGCCGAGCGGAUGGAAGCACGAGAUUAGGAACAAUAGCCUCGGGAUCGACUAGGGACACAAGGUCCCAGCCUUGGGUAAAACUCUCUCUCGAUUUUUGACCACAGAGUAGGAAGGUUGUGCCUAGUGAAAAUUGAUGCAAAAUUGUAAAGUAUUUGGUGAGGAUGCCAUUAGUGCAAGAUAUAGAGACAAGAGGACACAAUAGCAGGCAUUAGUGACCAGAAUAGACAAGUGUUUGCUGUGCCGGGUGGAACUCCACCGGAGGCACCGGUGUAUCGGAUGCCAAGCGGCGUUCCGGGAAAAAAAAAAAUUACAGAAAACUGGUAAUAUCGUGAUUAGAAAGUUGAUUACCGAAGCACUACCGAAGAGAUCCAGUUAAAAACAAUUAAAGAUUUUCCUUCAAACGAAGGUCUAACCCCCAGGGACCAGUCUAUUGCACCGCUGUGCCACCCCUCGCGACGCCAGUAGUCACCACUCCGGCCGAUGCGGCUAUACCGAGGUUCAUAAGUUAACGAUACUCCAUGUGACAGUUAAGUGGGAAAAGCUCUGGUGUUGACCACGUGUGGAUUUUCCUACCAAACCCACCCUCACCACUACAUCGGUAUAUGACUUGCUGUCGAGCCUCAAGACGCGAACCGUUAGUAAAAAAACCCACCACCAGAGGCGUUCUCGACCGGUCUCGUGACGUCAUCGUGGAGAACAAAUUGAGCACCGUGCACGUCGGCAGUAUUGGGCAAGUAGCGAAAGAAAAAUCGACCAAUUGUAAAUCCUACUAACCGUAGAUUAAGAAAAAUGCAACACCGGGUAGAAAGAGACGAAACCAUUAAACGAAAUUUGUUAAACGCUACGAAAUGAAGCCCUGUAUUCUUUUGUAUCGAUUGAUGGUCAAAUAGAGGGAAAGUCUUGCUGUGGCUAACUAUCGGGUUCGAAAUAGUAUAGGCUCUGGAUCUGGAAAACCUUCAAAGGACACCAAUCCACCCUAGAGUUGUAUUAGAUUUUGCGGGUUAGUUGUCGUUGGUUUCGGGCUUUGCUGAAGUUCGGUUUCGGAUUGGAGGUUUAAGAUAAGG